CAAAAAGUAGCUUAACAAAAGCAUUCAGCUUACAAUUGAAAAAUGUUGGCCACCACCAGCCUUUUUGC
rnacentral:tRNA from 1 species